CAAUGGCAACCCCCUUUGUGUCCCCUCCCCUUGUAUGGGAGCUCUGUUUUCACUCUUUUCACUCUAUUAAAUCUUGCAACUGCACUCUUCUGGUCCAUGUUUGUUAGGGCUGGAGCUGAGCUUUUGCUCGCUGUCCACCACUGCUGUUUUGCCGCCCUCACAGACCCUCUGCUGACUUCCAUCCCUCUGGAUCCUGCAGGUUGUCGGCUGUGCUCCUGAUCCAGGGAGCACACUCCUGAUCGGGCUAAAGGCUUGCCAUUGUUCCUGCAUGGCUAAGUGCCUGGGUUUGUCCUAAUCGUGCUGAACACUAGUCACUGGGUUCCACGGUUCUCUUCUGUGACCCACGGCUUCUAAUAGAGCUAUGACACUCACUGCAUGGCCCAAGAUUCCAUUCCUUGGAAUCUGUGAGGCCAAGAACCCCAGGUCAGAGAACAAGAGGCUUGCCACCAUCUUGGAAGCAGCCCGCCACCAUCUUGGAAGUGGCUCGCCACCAUUUGGAAGCUCUGUGAGCAAGGACCCCCGGUAACAUCUGCAAGGUUGUCAAUCAUGCCUAUGUAAUGAAGCCUCCAUAAAAACCCAAGAGGACCGGGUUUGGAUGAACUUGUGGACAGCUGAAUACCUGGAAGUUCCUGGAGAGUGGCACACCCAGGGAGGGCAUGGAAGCUCUGCAUCCCCUUUCCCAUACAUCGCCCUGUGCAUCUUUUCAUCUAUAUCCUUUAUAAUAAACCAGUAACGGUAAGUAAAUGUUGCCCUGAGUUCUGUGAGGCAACUAGCAAAUUAACCAAACCCAAAGAGGGGGUCAUGGGAACCCCAAUUUGAAGCUGGUCAGUCAGAAGGUAAGGAGGCCCAGAUUUACAAUGGACUGGGGACAGUUUUGAAGACUGAGCCCUCAUUCUGUGGGAUUUGAUGCUGUCUCCAGGUAGACAGUGUCAGAAUUUAACUAGAUGGCGCGUAGCUGCUGUCUGCUGUGUUGAUUGUUGUGUGGGAGCAGAGGAAAAACAUGGUUUGAGAGCUUUUCCCUAGGCUUCCAAUACCCUCAGGUGGGUGUCAGGAGCAUUCCUUUUCCUUUUGUGUUUGGCUCAUACCUCUUCCAUCUUUUCUCCAGUAAACUCUGGGAGUGUGGUUAGUUUCCAGCACAGCUUCCUUCCUAGGUUGCUAGCUUGCUUGCUUGCUUGCUUGCUUGCUUGUUUCCUUCCUUCCUUCCUUCUCUCUUUCUUCCCUCCCUCCCUCCCUCCCUUCCUUCUUUCCUUUUUUUAAAAUUUAUUAUUAUUAUCUUGAGACAGAGUCUUGCUCUGUCGCCCAGGCUGGAGUGCAAUGGCACCAUCUCAGCUCACUGCAACCUCCACCUCCCAGGCUCAAGCGAUUCUCAGGUCUUGGCUUCCUGAGUAGCUGGGGUUACAGGCACGCACCACCAUGCCCAGCUAAUUUUUGUGCUUCCAGUAGAGAUGGGGUUUCGCCAUGUUGUCCAGGCUGGUCUCCAACUGCUGACCUCAAGUGAUCUGCCCACCUUGGCCUCCCAAAGUCCCGGGAUUACAGGUGAGAGCCACCACGCCAGACCCUACAGCCUUUUUUCUUGUGCCGCCACUAGAGCAGGGAGCCAGAAACAGUCUCUCUCUUAGGCUCCUUCAGUCAUGAGCCUCCAGUGUUCACAGCUCAAGAUCUAGCGUGGUCCCACCAAAGCCUCUCACCUUGGCCUGGAUGUGAGAGAAAAGCACCCAUUCUCGUUCCCCACAGGAGGGGAUAUAAUGCCAUAAUACUGAAUAUUUUUCCAAAGACAUUUCUGCUCCAAGCUUCUUCAAUUCAACAAUUCUAUGAGAUAUGAGGUAAGUAUAGAUCUAUGGGUUAUUAAAAACAGUCUUUCCUGUGCCAAUCCUACAUAGUAAGUCUAGACCAUAUUUUUCGGAUGUAAGUCUAUUUGCUACUUACUAUAUUUAUAUUUUGUUAAUUAUUUUGGGAAACUGGACAAAAUAGGGUAAGCAUCGUAUGAUACUUAAAACUGCUGAGAAAGAAAUAAUGUUAUUAUUCUACCUUGAUUUUAUAGCUGAGGAAAAUAAGGCAUAAAGAAGUGAAAUAAUGUUUAACCAAUAUUACAUAUUUUAUCAGGGUGCUGGGAACUUAAUUUCUUUGAUUUAUUUCCUGUAGCCAUACCCAUCAUAGUUUUGCUAACAGUGUGACUGGGAGUAGUGAGAUAUAAAAUAAAUUUGGGCCUCAGUUUCCUCACCUUUAACCUAAUUUUCUCAAAAAAUUAACAUAGUAAUGUUAAGUAAAGUCGAUAGCGGGGGCUGGUCCAAUGUGGGUACCCAGAAAAUAGAAGCAUCACCCUUCCUUUACCACUUUUCUCCAUGCUUCUUCCCUAAACCCACACACAUUUCUAAAAAAUUCCAAUAUGAUUUUAAAAUAACAUAUACAUUUACUUAAAUCUUUGAAUUUGAAAUUACAUUUCGAAUUUGAAACAACAUUUGAAUUUGAAACAACAUUUUGACAUCUUUUGUUCUAUUGUAAGUCCUAGGGCAGAAAGGAGACGUCUGGGGGCAGGGUGGAGGUUGCUGUGUCUGAAUGUAAAGAGGGAAAGCUGUGUCUGAAUGUAAAGAUUUGUCAUAUGACAAAUCUUAUGAAGGUGAGUAAUUACAAAAGGAUUUAGUGUCUGCGAUGGAGACACUAAUGGCACUGAAGGAAAAAAAUCUCAGUAUAGUGCUGAAAUCUGUAAAGGAGUGGAGCCAUCAAUGGUCUCAGGCAACUGCUGAUUAAUCUAUGAGCAGGGCUUGUUUAGUAAAUAAAUGACCUAGACCAACAUUAACUUCAGCAGUUCGAGCUCUGAACACACAAAUACAGAUCAAAAAAUAGAAACUGUUAGACACGACAGUGAAAGAAUAACAGUGCCUAGAAGGUGUCAAAGCAUAAUAUAUUGAGUAGAUGACUGAUUUGCACUAUAAGCAAAUGUCAUAACUCAGUAAGUGGAACCAAAUUGGUUUUCUUGAUUCUUAUGUGUGUGUAUCUAUAUAGACAUACAUAUAUUCUCGAUUGGAAAGAGAAGAUGAUUUUUGGUUCUACAAUUCUCACUGCUGACCUGUGGAGAAAGGAUUUUGGAAGAAUUACUGCCCACUGGGUAAUUUCAGAUGAUGAAGUAGACGUGCUUUUUCCUCACUCUUCCCUGAGAACACCUGAAAAUGCUGGACAUUAUAUAUAAAACAAAUGUAAUAAGAUUCUGAAAGGUUAAUAAAAGAUGACAGAAUUACUAAAGACCUUGAGUCCCCCAAAAUGAUAUAAUAGUAAGUUGCCUGAAUUUUCCUUUUGCCUCAUAUAUCCCAGUCUGAGUGCUGAAGAAGCCAGCAACCAGGAACAUCAUCAGGCACAGACAAAAAAAAAAAAAAAAAAAAGGAAAAAAAGGCCUAAAUAAAACCCUGUUCCCUCUAGCUGAAGAAUCAUGAAAAGGGUAGCCUAGCAAGACAGGAAAGUUAAAGGAUAUAACUGUUCCACUGCGGCUGGCCAAACAUCACAGAAAAAAAACUGUGGCCCAAAUGCCAACCCCACCAGAAAAGACUGAGUGAAGGAGUGAGGGGUCUCAACUUCUCCCCUCAUGAGGCUGUGAUUAGGUUCCCCAAACCCUUGACUAAAGUCGUAUCAAAAAAGUCAAGUGGGAAGCCAGGACUUUCACCCCCACGGGGCAAUAAUAAGCCCCUUACCCUGACGUGAUCCUGGGAGCCAAGUCAUGAGUUUUGACUUCCACAUCUACCUGGAAGUAACGAUGCGACCCUCUCCCUGUGCAGGGGCGGUGUUAAGAGAGGCCUAGUGGAGGGUCAGGCUCAGCAGCGAUGAAGCCGCCCACACUGUGGUGCUGGUGGAGGCCACGUGGGCAGCGGUAAUGGUCCUGCCCACUCUUCCCAGCUGGGAGGCUUCCACGCCAGCAGUGGAGGACUGUGACUUUUCCACUGGCCCAGAAGGAUUGAGGAUCCUCCUCCUUGGGUGUUAAGGGUGGCUGAGUAGAGAAUAUGGAUUUUUACCCCCAUGGCAGUAAAAAGGUCUUCCUUUUUCCCACCACAGUAGUAUCCAAAGCAGCCAGUUAAACUGAUUUAAGUAAGAUACAGAGUCUCAUAACAUAAUACCUAAAAUGUCUUGGUUUCAACUGAAAAUCACUCAUAACAAAGACCAGGGAGAUCUCAAACUUCACUAAAAAUAAUAAAUUCUGACAUGGAGAUGACAGAGAUUUUGGAAUUAUUUGACAAAGAUUUGAAAGCAGCCAUGAUUUUAAAAAAUGUUUUAACAAGCAAUUAACAGCAUGCUUUAGAAAAGCGGGCCGGGCGCGGUGGCUCACGCCUGUAAUCCCAGCACUUUGGGAGGCCGAGGCGGGCGGAUCACGAGGUCAGGAGAUGGAGACCACGGUGAAACCCCGUCUCUAGUAAAAAUACAAAAAAUUAGCCGGGCGUGGUGGCGGGCGCCUGCAGUCCCAGCUGCUUGGAGAGGCUGAGGCAGGAGAAUGGCGUGAACCCGGGAGGCGGAGCUUGCAGUGAGCCGAGAUCGCGCCACUGCACUCCAGCCUGGGUGACAGAGCGAGACUCCCUCUCCAAAAAAAAAAAAGAAAGAAAAGCGACAAAAUACAAAAAUCCCAGCAAAUAAAUAGAAAAUAUAAAGAAUAACCAGGUGCAAAUUUUAAAAGUAAAAAUUCAGUAACUGAAAUAAAAAUUCCAAUGGAUGUCUCAACAGAGGAAUAAAGAAAGCAUAUGAAAAAAAUCAGUGAACAAAAAGAUACAACAGUGGAAAUUACCUAAUUUGAGAGCAACACAGUGAAAAGAGACUGAAGGGAGAAAAGAAAAAAACAAACAAACAAAAAACAAAAACAGAACUUCAGGGACCUGUGGGACUGUCACAAAACAUCUAAAAUCUGUGUUAUUGAAACCCCAGAAAGAAGAAGAGUGAGUUUGAAAAGUGUUCAAAGAACACCUUCUCAUAUUUGCCAAGGCAUAAAUGUACAGACUCAAAAUGGUGAAAGAAUCUCAAAUUAGAGAAACCCCCGAAAAUUAAUACCAAGAUAUAUUACAGUCAAACUUUUGAAAACUUAAGAGGAAACAAAGCAGAAUCUUUAAAUCAGUGAGAUAAAAAUAGCACCUUAUCUACUAGAAAAAAAAGAAAAACCCAAAUGACUGGAGUUUUCCUUAGAAAACAUGACAAGAGAAAGUGGCACAAUAUUUUUAAAGUGCUGAAAGAAACAAAACAAAACAAAACAAUUUAUCAACCAGAAUCCUAUAUCCAGUAACAGUAUUUUUCAGGAAGGAGGGAAAAUCAUGACAUUCUGAGAUAAGGGAAAAUUAAGGUAACUGGUUGCCGGCAGAAUUACUCUAAAAGCA
rnacentral:lncRNA from 10 species